rnacentral:rRNA from 1 species
UACGUAGGUGGCAAGAGUUGUCCGGAUUUACUGGGCGUAAAGAGCGCGCAGGCGGUCGGAUAAGUCGAAUGUGAAAGCCCCUGGCUCAACCAGGGAGGGUCAUUCGAUACUGUUCGACUCGAAGGCAGGAGAGGGAAGUGGAAUUCCGGGUGUAGUGGUGAAAUGCGUAGAUAUCCGGAGGAACACCAGUGGCGAAGGCGACUUUCUGGCCUGUUCUUGACGCUGAGGCGCGAAAGCUAGGGGAGCAAACGGG